CCCCCCUGGCAAUGAGUAGAGGCACCUUGUUGGUGGCACUGUGCUUUAUCAGUCAGGGACAAAGCAGAUGGCAGUCCUCUGUUCAUCCUAGCUCGAUGCCUGGCUUGGUGGCCAAAGCUGCCUUAUGCCUAGGACUCAUAA